UUGUUGCAUAAAAAGAGAAAAAAAAAAUGACGAAAAUUCUCAUGUUUUUUUUCGUGUUAUGGUCUGUUUUUCUUGCUUUUGUAGUAAGUGGCAUAAGUGCCGGACGAUCUUUGCCGUGUAUAGAGGAUAGGGACUGCGCUUACUUAAUAAAUUUACCUUGGCGUGAACAUUGGUUUACGCGUUGUGUUAAUAAUCAAUGUCUCGGCUGGUUCAGACUCUGAGAAUUAAUACUACGUUAAUAACUUAUGUCCAAGCUUAUAAAUUUAUUAGAAAUCUUAAUAUUAUCCCUCUUAUAUUAUAAGUUUGAGUGAACUAUAUUUUGUUUUUCAUAAUGGGAAUGAUUUGAGUAUUAGCUUUAUUUAUCGUUUUUAAUUUGAUUAGAA